UGCUGCUGCACUACCAGACGGUCAGCGAGCCCGCCACCAUCAGGAAGCUGGUCAGCGUUUUGCACAAGAGCAGCGGAGAGGUUCUCAAGAAGAAACCCAAGUGUCUGAGUAAAGGCAUGAACGCGGUGGUGGAGAUCCAGACCCAGCGGCCGGUGGCUCUGGAGCUCUACAAGGACUACAAGGAGCUGGGCCGCUUCAUGCUGCGAUACGUCGGCUCCACCAUCGCCGCCGGCGUCGUCACCGAGAUCAAAGAGUGAGGACGUCUGAAGGCUGCAGCUGGACUCUGAAGGCAGCCGGAGACAACGAGUGGAGUCAGAGCUUCACGUCCAUCCAUCCAUCCUCCCCCACAGCUGGACUCGGUGUUUCUGAGCCUCC